UUCNCUUGCAACUUGUGGCAGGGCUAUUGU
rnacentral:piRNA from 1 species